rnacentral:misc_RNA from 1 species
UUAUAUUUGAAUCUAGGUUUAGAUUAAUUUUUUGUCUUGCAGGUUAAAAAUCAAUAGCUAUUAAGUACUAGCUAGUAUUUUUAUCAUUGUGGUUAGUUUAGGUUCCUAGCUAUGUCCUCAUUUUACUCUGUGGUUUAGAUGCUGAUAUUUGCUAUUGAACUAGUUUAAAAUUAGCGGAUUGGGUCUAAUGGUGCCCAUACUUAAAGUUUGUUUGUAUGGAG